AUCCAGAGCUAUGCCCAUGUUACAGCUGGGGGGACGGGACCCUAACGCCCUUUGGCAGGGGCUCGGGAAAUGCACCCGGCCCUGUGAAGUGGAGCCGCUCACGUCUGCCCAGCAGAAUGCAGAUUCAAGCAGCACCGUUAGCUGGUGCGUUGCAGACCGGAGGCUGCAUUUUGGCACGAGGCUGCUUUAGGAAACAGCUUGGACUGCUAGGCACAAAGGCCCAGAUCUUCAAAGAUGUAUUAAUGGCUCAGUCCUCCCUUUAUCCUGGGGCUUUCCAAGCUGGGGAGCAAGGGGGUUUUCCUGCGGCGGUUGGAAGGUUCCCCAUCUCCACGCCCAGCAUCCUGUCUCUGUCUGACCUCAGCCUUCCCCACAAGCCCACAGAGCUUUUCCCGGGGGCCCCAGUUGCCGGCAUGAAGCGCUUACAGUCCAAUACAAACACCUGGCCAGCGCAGGAAGACGUGGUGGCGGGAAGAGACACAGCCAGGCAGGGUGUCUGCACAGGAAGACGUCUCCGAAGAAGUUCCUGAUCCCGACGGUUGCAAAGCAAACCUUGAAAACGUGCCCCGAUUGGCUCAAAGGCGGAGCUGUCUGGCUGAGUCUGCAGACAGCCCGAAACAAGGGCUCUGAGAUGUGAACUGCCCCAUUCCCCACACCAAGGGGUUAAAUGGGACUCUCGGAGAGAACUGUUUCAAUGGCAACAUUGCUAAGGAUUUCACUGCGGAUCAUUGCAGCAAACACGCCCGGCUAGUGAGCCCACCCCACAAUUGCUGCUCCUCGCUGCCCCCCAACUGCCCCUUACCCACCCACCCAGCCUCCCCCAGGCAGCUUCUAAGGUGCAAACAGGCCUUGAGGCCUUGGGGGGGCAGGGGCAGCAGACUGACCUUCACAUCACGGGGCUGCUGGCCUGAUUCAUUUCCCGAUUGACUCCACUAACCCCCACCCCCACACCCCCAUUUAGAUGGGCCCCCGAUUUCCGGCCUGCCCCACCGCCUGGCUGCAAAACGUAGCCGGAUCCCCUGCAGCCCUAUCGGUGGCCCUUUCACAUCUGGCCGCACUGCAGCGGCUGGGGGAUCGGCUGCGGCUUUGCACCAAGACCAGGGGCGUCUAAUCAGGGAGCCCCCCCAACGAGGCGGGGGGGGACUGUUUUUAAGGCCCAUUCCCAGCUUGGGCCUGGUUUUAAAGCAAACUUUGAACCAAGCCGCCUGGUUGGCGUCCCAGCAUCUCCCCCCUCUCCGGCCCCCGGGAGCAGGAGUCCUGCGGCGGGGGGAGCAGCUGUCAAUCAUCGCUCCAGCUCCCAUUCAGUCCUUGACGGUGAUUGUGUAGGGCUCUGAGCCGGACUGCACCAACCUGACCCAGGGAAACGGGGGUGGGGGGCAGGCGGCGCCGGCAGCCAGCCGGGCCAUC